AUUGAACGCUGGCGGAAUGCUUUACACAUGCAAGUCGAGCGGCAGCGCGGGGCAACCUGGCGGCGAGCGGCGAACGGGUGAGUAAUGUAUCGGAACGUGUCCUGUCGUGGGGGAUAGCCCGGUGAAAACCGGAUUAAUACCGCAUACGAUCGAGAGAUGAAAGUGGGGGACCGCAAGGCCUCACGCGAUAGGAGCGGCCGAUAUCUGAUUAGCUAGUUGGUGGGGUAAAGGCCCACCAAGGCUUCGAUCAGUAGCUGGUCUGAGAGGAUGAUCAGCCACACUGGGACUGAGACACGGCCCAGACUCCUACGGGAGGCAGCAGUGGGGAAUUUUGGACAAUGGGGGCAACCCUGAUCCAGCCAUUCCGCGUGAGUGAAGAAGGCCUUCGGGUUGUAAAGCUCUUUUGUCCGGGAAGAAACGGGUUUGGCUAAUAACCAAGACUACUGACGGUACCGGUAGAAUAAGGACCGGCUAACUACGCGCCAGCCGCCGCUGUAA
rnacentral:rRNA from 1 species